AACCAUAGAAACCUGCGGAGUACCUGCGGAGGAUCAUUACACAAUACAAUAUGAAGGCUGUCCGCAGCUGGAGUAUUUUAUUACCCUUGUCUUUUGCGCACUUGUUGUUUCCUGGGCGGGUUCGCUCGCCACCAGGACCACCAAAUAAACCUUUUUUAUGCAGUUGCAAUCAGCGUCAGUACAAACAAUGUAAAUCAUUUACAACUUUCAACAACGGAUCU
rnacentral:misc_RNA from 1 species